rnacentral:rRNA from 1 species
GACGAACGCUGGCGGCGUGCCUAACACAUGCAAGUCGAGCGAUGAAAUCCCUUCGGGGAUGGAUUAGCGGCGGACGGGUGAGUAACACGUGGGUAACCUGCCUCAAAGUGGGGGAUAGCCUUCCGAAAGGAAGAUUAACACCGCAUAAUAUUAGAUUUUCGCAUGAAGAACUAAUUAAAGGAGCAAUCCGCUUUGAGAUGGACCCGCGGCGCAUUAGCUAGUUGGUGAGGUAAUAGCUCACCAAGGCGACGAUGCGUAGCCGACCUGAGAGGGUGAUCGGCCACAUUGGAACUGAGACACGGUCCAGACUCCUACGGGAGGCAGCAGUGGGGAAUAUUGCACAAUGGGGGAAACCCUGAUGCAGCAACGCCGCGUGAGUGAUGAAGGUCUUCGGAUUGUAAAGCUCUGUCUUUUGGGACGAUAAUGAUGGUACCAAAGGAGGAAGCCACGGCUAACUACGUGCCAGCAGCCGCCGUAACAC